rnacentral:rRNA from 1 species
ACGGCUCAGUAACACGUGGACAACCUACCCUUAGGUCGGGGAUAAACCCGGGAAACUGGGUAUAAUACCCGAUAGUCCUCGGAUGCUGGAAUGCACCGAGGUCUAAAGCUCCGGCGCCUAAGGAUGGGUCUGCGGCCUAUCAGGUAGUAGUGGGUGUAGCGUACCUACUAGCCUACGACGGGUACGGGUUGUGAGAGCAAGAGCCCGGAGAUGGAUUCUGAGACACGAAUCCAGGCCCUACGGGGUGCAGCAGGCGCGAAAACUUUACAAUGCUGGAAACAGCGAUAAGGGAACCUCGAGUGCCAGGUUACAAAUCUGGCUGUCGUGAUGCCUAAAAAGCAUUGCAUAGCAAGGGCCGGGCAAGACCGGUGCCAGCCGCCGCGGUAACACCGGCGGCUCGAGUGGUAACCGCUGUUAUUGGGUCUAAAGGGUCUGUAGCCGGCCGGAUAAGUCUUUUGGGAAAUCUGGCAGCUUAACUGUCAGGCUUUCAGAGGAUACUGUCUGGCUCGAGGCCGGGAGAGGUGAGAGGUACUUCAGGGGUAGGGGUGAAAUCUUGUAAUCCUUGAAGGACCACCAGUGGCGAAGGCGUCUCACCAGAACGGACCUGACGGCAAGGGACGAAAGCUAGGGGCACGAACCGGAUUAGAUACCCGGGUAGUCCUAGCCGUAAACGAUACUCGCUAGGUGUCGGCCACGGUGCGACCGUUGUCGGUGCCGUAGGGAAGCCGUGAAGCGAGCCACCUGGGAAGUACGGCCGCAAGGCUGAAAUUUAAAGGAAUUGGCGGGGGAGCAC